AACAGGACCCAAAAGGCUGAGGCCGAUGAAGCAAGAUUUUGCUGACACACUCCUAGGAAAAAAAAGAGCUGGAGAGACAAGUCUUAUUGGGGUGGGGGGAUCACAGGGCUGACUGUAUUACCCAACAUUA